GUUAGGAAUAUUGGACAAUGGGCGCAAGCCUGAUCCAGCCAUGCCGCGUGAGUGAUGAAGGCCUUCGGGUUGUAAAGUUCUUUAGCCGAUGAUUAUAAUGACUGUAGUCGGAAAAUAAGCCCCGGCUAACUUCGUGCCAGCAGCCGCGGUAAUACGAAGGGGGCGAGCGUUAGUCGGAAUCACUGGGCGUAAAGCGUGCGUAGGCGGUUUUGUAAGUUAGGAGUGAAAGCCCAGGGCUCAACCUUGGAAUUGCUCUUAAAACUGCAAGGCUCGAAUCUCGGAGAGGAUAGCGGAAUUUCCAGUGUAGCAGUGAAAUGCGUAGAUAUUGGAAGGAACACCAGUGGCGUAAGCGGCUAUCUGGACGAGUAUUGACGCUGAGGCACGAAAGCGUGGGGAUCAAACAGGAUUAGAAACCCUUGUAGUCC
rnacentral:rRNA from 1 species